UACAAUUGGACCAGGUAGGGAUUGGUGACUGUUCACAUGUGUAAGAAAGACCUGCCCUAUGCGUUGUUGUAGAGCAUCAUAAAGUUGACGCUUCUGUCUAUACAAAUCCUACUGUUAUCAUUUUGUGUACCAGUUUAUAAACAUAUAAAGAGUCUGUAACAAUAUUAAUAGGAUUCUCUGUUUCCUGCUAAAGUUCCCCUGUGUUUAGUCAGGG